UUUAACUCAAUAAAUAUUAUACUUAAGAUAUGUCAUUUUUUUUUCUUUUUAUCUAUUUUAAGAUUAUAAAAAGAUAAACAAAAUUUUAAAAAUGUAUUUCAUUUUUAAGUUCCAAGUAAUUUCUAAUCUAGGUGUAUUCUUACUUUAGGCAAGAUUGUAGAUCAGAGAUGCGAAAGUAACUUAUUAUAGUCAAUCGCUUUCUUAAACUUAAAUUCUUUCUUCUUCAUUGUUUCUUUUGCUUUGGCACAACACGCAAUUCAAUUACUAUAACUCUAUAAACAUUUGAUCAAGCAGCAGACAACAUUAUGUCCCUAUUAAUUUUUCUCAUUGACUUUGUGAUAGAGGAGUGCCAUAUUUAGUAAACCACCAAAUUAAUUUUCUAUAACUUGG
rnacentral:lncRNA from 1 species